UGUGUCUGUGUCUGCUACACGGCUGUGACACUGUUUGCAUCCCCACCGUCACACAUCCUCUGGUUUCUUCAGGCUGGCUCUGGAGCACAAAGUUGUCCUCUGUGCAGGAAACAGAAACCCAGCUCUGAAUGCAGCCUGCUGUGGUUUUCUGCAGAGGCUCAGUGUGUCUCUUCUGUCCCAACCAGACCCUGCAGCCAGCAUCCUCCCACAAGACUGUGAGGAGAUAGAGGCUGUGUUGAGGUCCAGCCUGCCCUCUCUGUGUUGCCGUGUGUGUCAG